rnacentral:tRNA from 1 species
GGGGCCUUAGCUCAGUUGGGAGAGCGCCUGCUUCGCAUGCAGGAGGUCGGCGGUUCGAACCCGCUAGGCUCCA